rnacentral:rRNA from 1 species
CUCUAACUCCGUGCCGUGUGCCGCGGUAAUACGGCGUUGGCUCGCGUUGUUCGGAAUCAUUGGUCGUAAAGGUCGCGUAGGCGGCCGAUCAAGUCGGAGGUGAAAUCCCUCGGCUCAACUGAUGAAUUGCCUCCGAUACUGUUCGGCUUGAGUCCCGGAGAGGGUAGUGGAAUUCCGAGUGUAGCGGUGAAAUGCGUAGAGACUCGGAAGAACACCAGUGGCGAAGGCGGCUACCUGGACGGGUACUGACGCUGAAGCGCGAAAGCUAGGGGAGCAAACAGGAUUAGAUACCCUUGUAGUC